rnacentral:rRNA from 1 species
AUUGAACGCUGGCGGCAUGCCUUACACAUGCAAGUCGAACGGUAACAGGUCUUCGGAUGCUGACGAGUGGCGAACCGGUGCGUAAUACAUCGGAACGUGCCCGAUCGUGGGGGAUAACGAAGCGAAAGCUUUGCUAAUACCGCAUAAGAUCUACGGAUGAAAGCAGGGGACCGCAAGGCCUUGCGCGAACGGAGCGGCCGAUGGCAGAUUAGGUAGUUGGUGGGAUAAAAGCUUACCAAGCCGACGAUCUGUAGCUGGUCUGAGAGGACGACCAGCCACACUGGGACUGAGACACGGCCCAGACUCCUACGGGAGGCAGCAGUGGGGAAUUUUGGACAAUGGGCGAAAGCCUGAUCCAGCCAUGCCGCGUGCAGGAUGAAGGCCUUCGGGUUGUAAACUGCUUUUGUACGGAACGAAAAGACUCUGGUUAAUACCUGGGGUCCAUGACGGUACCGUAAGAAUAAGCACCGGCUAACUACGUG